GACAACGCUGGCGGCGUGCCUAACACAUGCAAGUCGAACGGGAACUCUUUGGAUCAAGGCUUGGCCAAGUGAAUUUGAGUUUAGUGGCGGACGGGUGAGUAACGCGUGAGCAACCUGCCUUUCAGAGGGGGACAACAGUUGGAAACGACUGCUAAUACCGCAUAACACAUCGAGGGGGCAUCCCCAUGAUGUCAAAGAUUUAUCGCUGAAAGAUGGGCUCGCGUCUGAUUAGCUAGUUGGUGGGGUAACGGCCUACCAAGGCGACGAUCGGUAGCCGGACUGAGAGGUUGAACGGCCACAUUGGGACUGAGACACGGCCCAGACUCCUACGGGAGGCAGCAGUGGGGGAUAUUGCACAAUGGGGGAAACCCUGAUGCAGCGACGCCGCGUGAGGGAAGACGGUCUUCGGAUUGUAAAGCCUCUGUCUUAGGGGACGAUAAUGACGGUACCCUGAGAGGAAGCCUACGGCUAACUACGUG
rnacentral:rRNA from 1 species